GUAGCCCCACCCCGCACCCUAAUGAUUACAGACAGUUGCGCGUUAAUAUGUCACUAAUAGUAGAAGCAGCGGGUGAGAAACUGGUUCGGAUUGUAUUGCGUCCGGGUUGUUUUAAGAAGCGUAUAAAUAGACGCUCGGAGAGACGGAAGAGGGAGCUACCGAGUUACGGAGUCAGGGCGUCAUUUAACCAGAGGAGAUACGACGAUGUAGAAAGAUAUACGAAAACGGAGAUGACGGGACCUAGGCACGGUCACCCACCUAGGUUGCCGUAUGUAUAUAUUUUGUAUGUGUUCGAGUUUACUAAUAAUGUCCUAGUUCAACAACGAAUCAGCGACUACGUCAUCUAGCUCUACGUCAUCUAGCUCUACCUGACUACGCUGCUACUCUAUUUGCUACAAUCGGCUACGCUGCUACAAUCUGCUAUUUGCUACAAUCUACGGUUGCUACAAGUCUAAGCUGUCGACGCUACAGAACCCUACACGGAGAUCUUCAACUAUUCGCAUUACAAUACGUAUUUGUAAAAGCCGGGUUUCCUUUGUAUGCGAAUCUGAUCAAGUCAGGCUCUGCUAGUGCUGUAACAAAGUUCUUUUUACUUGUAUUGGACGAAUGGAGUUCUGUAAUGUACCAAUACAACGAUUGCCGUGAAGUAAUCCCUAGGGUAUCGUGUUCCAGAAGUUGGUAAAUCAGCCCUAUGACGAGGCAAUUGAACUGUCCGAUGAAGAGGAUAUUGUAACCACAGCACUUCAAAAUAUAGAAUCUUCUGUCUCGUGUGGGCAAUAAGGCAACAAGUAAGG